CGCCCCCUGCGGUGUUCGUAGCCAUUCCGUGCCCCUGAACCUAUAACUCUUGCCUCGGGAACCACGAUCUCGGGCGCUGUUGUGCAUGUCCGUCUCGAACGGAAAGCCUGAAGCAUCCGGACGUGUCCCACUUGAACCUUUGGUUCGAGGCAAAGAAUGGUUACGGCACAGGCGGAGGGCGC
rnacentral:other from 3 species